rnacentral:misc_RNA from 1 species
GCGUUGCGGGCUUGCGGCGGUGGAACGGAGAGAGGGAGUGUGUUGUGUGUGCGAUUUCGCGCGUUCACCGCGAUUCCGAAUUGUUCUCUGACAGAUUUGGCGGCGAGUGGACAGUCGAGUCGCGAUCUGGCUACACGACUGAGCGGGCGAGCGCACUUGUUCGCGAGAGUUGGCCGACGAGAUGUCCGUGAUGGGUAAGCCGGUACUCUACUCCUAUUGGCGGAGUUCCUGUUCGUGGAGGGUGAGAAUUGCAUUGAACCUAAAGGAGAUACCAUACGACAUAAAGCCUGUGAGCCUGGUAAAGAGUGGUGGCGAACAACAUUCCAAUGAAUUUCGAGAGAUUAAUCCGAUGGAACAGGUCCCUGCACUCCAUAUUGACAAUCACACGUUAAUAGAGUCUCUGAACAUCUUGCAAUACUUGGAAGAGACUAGACCGAAUCGUCCACUGCUGCCGGCAGAUCCUGUGAAAAGAGCGAGAGUAAGAGAAAUUUGCGAAGUGAUCGCUAGUGGCAUACAACCGUUGCAGAAUCUUGUUGUUCUGAUUUACGUCGGGGAGGAACGCAAAAAGGAAUGGGCACAGCAUUGGAUUACGAGAGGAUUUACAGCUGUAGAAAAAUUAUUAUCGUCGAGUGCGGGCAAGUAUUGCGUCGGUGACGAGAUUACGUUAGCGGACUGUUGCCUAGUGCCACAGAUAUUUAACGCGCGAAGAUUUCACGUCGACCUGAGGCCCUUCCCCACAAUUCUAAGGGUGGAUCGUCAUCUGGAGCAUCAUCCAGCUUUCACCGCAGCUCAUCCCAACAACCAGCCCGAUUGUCCACCCGAGGCGACCAAGUAGCAAGCGAGGCAGACCACCCUUUUCCUCUUCUAAGUCUUUAGACGGACGGGAAAAGGUGGUCUGACAUCAUGUGGUUGCAUAGUGAGAAAAGAUGACUACUUCUUCCAUGUAGCCUCCAGCCUUCGCAAUUAUUUUUCUAUAGGAGAUAUAGUGUUACAUAACGAAGGUUUACUUCUUUCUGUAUUUUCUCUGAGAUGGAGCAAUGAGAAUUAAAUAUAUAUAAUAGAAUAUAUCGUCGCAAAUUUAAAAAAAAACGUCCUACAUAUAGUGCUCUGGGACAAGUAAGACAUGUAUUCCGUGUUUAUACACACCCCACACGUGCACACAGCCAUAUAUUAAUCUACCGAGUGAUUAGAUAAUAAUGUAUAUAAUCUUUGUACGAACUAUCCUCACUUUCUGCAACAUGCACGACGUCGACGAGACGAGCGUACUCGAAAUUGAACGUAACUUUUAUGCAUGUUUGGUGACAGCUCUAAUGCAUACGAUGCAAUUCAAUCUAUGGAAAAAAGAUGUGAGCAAAUCAGGAUCUUUGCUAUGUUAAUCUUUAGUGUAUUUAAGAAUAUUUAAGGAUUAAUUAACGAGAUCUCGCAUUGAAGUGUGAAUUUUAUCAAACUUUCGUAAAGCAGUCUAUGAAUACGAAACAUUGAUUUUAUCAAAAAUAAGCUGUGUUGCUGUAGUUGUUCGUGGCUGUAUUAUUGUAUGACAUCUGAUAUCUUAAUAAUAAUUCAUUCCUGGAAUUACGGUUGCAUAAAAUCAAAAUUACUCGAUUUACAAGUGAAGAAAGAAUAAAAUUUUGUCUAUUCGAUCUUUGUGAUUUAAUUUGCGAUAACAUUUAAGCGACUGCUAAUAAAUCUAGCUCUCCAAUUUUUCUACUUAGUUUUUUUAUAUUUUUAUGUUAUGUGUAGCCCUUUGUAAGAAUUUUUACUUUCGAUUAAAAUGAAAAUGAAAAAAAAGUUACGUUUUAUACAUCAAUUGCAAAUCUUUCUAUAUUCCGUAUUUCUAUACGAGAGAAAAAGCAAGUUGCUUUGUUCCAAUUGCCUUUUUUACUCUCUACUAUUCUCACUUGGUAGAUUCGGCUUUUGUGAAAUUUUAAAUUUAUAGACAUUUUAGUGCUACAUUUGUUUUUCCUAUCGUGAUCUUCAAUCUCGAAGAUUUGGUUUUUACAUUGAAAAUGACAACUUAGUUAUAUGAAUAGAGAUCCUUGAUUAUGUUUAUUCUAAAUUACGUAUAAAUUUUCAAAUAUCCUGUGUUCGACGAAUCGUACAGAACUUGCGUAUAAUACACGUAUAAAAGAAGUAAGAAUAAUACGUUUUUUAAGAGAUUGAAAUAAAAUACUGUAUAAUACUUUGUACAAUAUAAGCCACUCUCCAUUUUUGCUUUUACAACAUUCAUGUGUACUUGAGAUGUUUCGAUGAUUUUGAUUGCAACUUGAUUUUAUGCGUGUGAUAUGCAGCUUUCGCAUCGAUCUUACGUAACACGAAUUGCAUACUAGUAUCACUGUAUAGUUCGAUGAAAUAAUGGCAGAAGCGUGCUACACCACUCUCCCGUUAUAAUUUUAACUAGAUUUCAGACGGCGUAAAAUUUUGUGAAAAAAUGCGUGAGGUACGUUAAGUGAGCAAAUGGGAGUGUACAAUAAAUAUAGUGACUGAUAUGUCGAUCUGAAAAUAGUUCAGAGCGCAUAGAUAUUUUAUAAGCGAAAAAAUUAUUAUUGUGUACGUUCACACUGCUUAUAGCGAAUAAAAGCGUCUGUGUCAAUACUGUAUGCUGCAUCAAUAUAUAUAUACUACUUUAUAGUAGUCACGAGGAAAAGAUCAAAACAGUAAGUGCAUUCGUAACUGUAUACUUAUUAUUCGAAUAAAACUAUGUUUUCUCUGUA